rnacentral:lncRNA from 1 species
CAAGAUUUGCAAUUCAUUGGUAGUGUUCAUGAUAGCAAGUUCUUUCAAUGAAAUGAUCGAGCUAGCAAAUUUUCCUUCCUUUGAAAUAUGCAGGCUAGUAAACUAACUCCCCCUUUAUCAUUAUCGAAAAGAAGGGAGAAAUCAAUGGCUAAAAAAUUUAAUCAUUAUACAAGCCAUAUUACAAAAUCAUGUCAUGAUAUCAAGAAAAUUCAAG